GACUGUUUAUGUCUCAAAGGAAGUAUGUGAUUGAUCUAUUGAAGGGAGCAGAUGCCUAUGGAGGAAAGACAGCCAAGAUGCCAAUGGAGGAUGGUUACAAGGUUCCACGUGAGGGGGAGAUUGAGGAUAGCAAGCCAUUCCAUGAUCCUAAGCUGUAUAGGAAGCUAGUGGGGAAGUUGAUUUAUCUUACCAUUACUAGACCUGAUGUGUGCUUUGCGGUGAAUCAAGUCAGUCAACACAUGCAAGUUCCUAAGGAGCACCACUGGCGGAUGGUGGAAAGGAUCUUGAUGUAUCUGAAUGGAACUACUGGUCUUGGAGUAUGGAUGGGAUGUAACAAGAGUACUGAGGUUGUAGGCUACUGUGAUGCAGAUUGGGCUGGGGACCGAGCAGAUAGAAGAUCAACCACAGGCUAUUGUACAUUCAUUGGUGGUAACUUGGUCACUUGGAAGAGUAAGAAGCAGAAGGUAGUGUCUUGUUCCAGUGCUGAGGCCGAGUAUAGAGCAAUGCUGAAGCUUACAAAUGAGCUAGUGUGGAUAAAAGGGAUUUUGAAGCAUCUGGAGAUUAUUCAAGCAACGCCAAUGACAAUGCAUUGUGAUAAUCAAGCAGCUAUCCACAUUGCAUCUAACUCUGUGUUCCAUGAGAGAACAAAGCACAUUGAGGUUGAUUGUCACAAGGUGAGGCAGAUGAUGAUUCUUGGGGUGAUACUACCUUGUUAUACUCGGAGUGAGGAUCAGUUAGCAGAUGUGUUCACAAAGGCAGCAAGGCAAAAGACAAUGGAGUCCAUACACAUCAGGUUAGGACUCAUUGAUCUCUCGCCUAAGGGCUAGUCUAUACACUCUCCUGAUCAUGUGAUCUCUACUCUUUUUCCUCAUUAAGGUUUUGUCCCAAUGGGUUUUCUUUAAUGAGGUUUUAAUGAGGGAGAUCUCAUGGUCCUUCCAAGCUUGACUUGUUCCACAUGGUCAAGCUUGAGGGGGAGUGUUGAGAUGAGAGAAUAAAGAGUUGAUAUAUUGAGAGAGGAAGAGAGUUGGAGUAGACAGUAACUUUGGAGUUUUACUGUGGUAACUUUAGUUUAACCACAGUAACAACUUGGGAAGUUAUCUGAUGGCAUGAGAAGGUAACUUAGUGAAGGGAAGAGAGUAAACUCGACCAAAGAGGAUAAGGAAGGAUAAGGGAGCACUUUGACAGCCUGUAUGAUGCUGGAAAGGAGAGGAUGCUUUUCUACUAGUGCAAGCAUGUGAGAAAGCACAGCCAAGUGAUUCAAAAGGAGUUCCAGCCUGUCCUUUGACUACACAUGCUUAUACAUUUCGAAAUUCCUUGUUGCUCUCUCUUUAUAUACUUGUAAACCCUCAUCAGUAUUAAUUAAUGGAGUUUUGAGUCUCUCUCUCUUAAGUCUCUCUCUUGUUCUUAAUCUCCAAUCUCUUUAAUUCUCAGAUUAAACUUAAUCACUCUUUAAAUCACCAAAUCUAAUAUGGUAUCAGAGCCAGGUUACUUUAAAAGGAGAGAGUGAUUUCGUUUUUCUAAAUGUUCUUGGGUGUUCUUGAGUGUUCUUGAGAGUUCUUGAGAUUUUUCGAGAGCUAGAUCCUUUAAAAGUGAAGUUUGUGUCUGUUGGUGUUUCUUUUGGAGAGUCAGCUUCAAGGGAGUCCCUUUAGGUGUUUGACAAGGUCAGAAGAUGGGUCUAGCUUGUGGUUCAGCAAGGCGUGAAGAGAAGGAAGAGAGAGGGAAUGAGUGGGGGUGGUUCUCACAAAUGAAAACGACUCUGAAGAGGUGUGGAGUUUGGAGAAACCAUGAGAAGGAAGAGUCUUUGAAGGGUAAAGCUGCUGAGAAAGAUCAGACAGCAAGAGAAACAAGAGGAAAUUGCUUUAUUCUUGAAGAAAGUACACUGCUUGAGAAGAUUGAAGAUGUUUAUGAGAACAAGAUCAGUCUUAGGAGAGUGUAUGAAGUCAAGAAGGUGAUUAGUGGAGGUAAACCAGGAAGAGAAGAGUUCAAUAACCAUGUGAGGAAGCUACAACAUUUGUGGGUUGAACUACAAGGGUUGAGAUCCCAUGUGGAUGGGGAUACUACACAAGAGCAAGAGACGGUCUUGAAGCUCUUGGCGAGCAUGGAGUCAUCAUAUGGGUGGCUGGUAGAGAUGGUUCUAAGAGGGGAACAGCUUCCGGAAAUGGAAGAGAUUUGUGGGCUUAUAAGAAGGGCGUAUGAGAUAAUGAGAGAUGAUGAGAGGCUAACCAUGAGUAGGAGUGAGAGCUCAUGGAAGCCAACUGGGAGUAGGAGUGAGAGCUUCCAGAAGCUAACCAUGAGUAGGAGUGAGGGCUCAUGGAGGCUAACCGGGAGUAGGAGUGAGGGCUUCCGGAAGAAGAGAAGGUGCAGAAUGCUAUCCAAAGCUUCUAUCAACAUAGGAAAGGGUAGAAAGAGAGUUGUGGGAGAGUGUUCUUACUCAGCCUACAUGGGGGAAUCAGUAGAAGACAGUGGGGUGUUAAGAGAGCAGGAGAAAGGGAGUGGAGCUGAUGAUCGCAUCACCAGGAAGGAAUGGAGAGUGUUCAUGGAACAUGUACAAGCCUUAGCAGCAAGCAAGAAGCAUGCUAUACAAUCCGGAGCUUCUAAACCCAUGGUGAUUGAUUCUGGAGCAAGUCAUCAUAUGAUCAGUGAUAGGAGGCUUAUAAGUGAGAUCAAGGCUGCAACAGGGAGUGUUAGGAUAGCUAAUGGUGCUAUGAUCCCAAUAGAAGGAGUGGGAAAGCUCAAACUGUUUGAGAAGGACACGGCUGCCUUCUACAUGCCUCAGUUCACUUCAAAUCUAUUAUCUGUGAAGAAAGCUACCAUUGAUCUUGAUUGUCAAGUAGUAUUCAGACCUGAUGAAGUUGAGUUUCAAGAUUUGAAGACUGGGAGAGUCAUUGGCAGAGGAGACAGCAAGAAUCAGCUAUACCACCUCGACUUGGCUAAGAUCUCUAAUCCCUUUGAUUCUAUUUGCUUGAGUAGUACUGCUGAGAAGAUUGAUAGUAUUACUUGGCAUGCUAGAUUAGGACAUCCUCAUGCUCGUGCCAUUGAAUUGAUAAUCCCUAAUAUGUCAUUCAAUCACUUGGAUUGUGAAGCAUGCAUAUUAGGAAAGCAUUGUAGGACUGUUUUCCCAACAUCUAAGACUACUUAUGAGCAUUGCUUUGAUCUCGUUCACUCGGAUGUGUGGACCGCUCCAUGCAUGUCUAGAGACAGCCAUAAAUACUUUGUGACAUUCAUUGAUGAGAAGUCUAAGUAUACAUGGCUCACAUUGCUUCCAUCUAAAGAUAAGGUGCUAGAAGCGUUUAUGAACUUCCAAGCAUAUGUAUCUAAUCAAUACAAUGCUACUGUGAAGGUACUGAGAUCAGACAACGGAGGUGAAUACAUCAGCAAUGCCUUCAAGAGUCAUCUAGCCAAGCAUGGGAUUGUGCAUCAGACCAGUUGUCCCUACACACCACAGCAGAAUGGUGUAGCUGAGAGGAAGAAUAGGCACUUGAUGGAGGUUGCUAGGUCGAUGAUGUUUCAUGCAAAUGUCCCAAAACGUUUUUGGGGAGAUGCUGUACAGACUGCUUGCUAUCUCAUCAACCGGGUCCCAACCAAGAUACUAAAGAAUCUGUCUCCAUUUGAGGUGCUGAAUAAGAGCAAGCCUUUUAUUGAUCACCUACGGGUAUUUGGGUGUGUAUGCUAUGUCAUGAGUCCAGGAGAACAGAGAAACAAGCUGGAGGCAAAGAGCACUAAGGCUAUGUUCAUUGGAUACUCUAUCACUCAGAAGGGAUACAAGUGCUAUGAUCCUGAAGCAAGGAGAGUGAUGGUAUCUAGAGAAGUGAAGUUUAUUGAAUCAAAAGGGUAUUAUGAAGAAAAGGAGUGGGAAAAUCUGAAGGAUUUGUCUCAAGCUCCAUCUGAUAGAGCAACAACACUGAGGGUGCUGUUGGAGAAGCUAGGGAUAGGGUUAUCCCAGGAUCAGGAAUCUGGAAGAAGAGAGUCUUCCAAUCCGACUAGUGAAGCUGAAAGAACAACUCCUCUUGAUCAUGAGAGGGGGAAUGGAACUGAAUCUCAUGAGCAAGUGCAAAAUCAAGAUUCAGGCCAGCAUAAUCAAGAGGUGACACAAGAAGUAGAGAGUGGUGCUCAGUCUAGUGGAGAUGGGCAAAGAGAGUCUACUUGCUCAGAUGAGAGUGGUACUCAGUCUAGUGAAGGAGAUGGGUCAAAUGAGAGUGGUGCUCAAUCAAGUGAAGAUGGGCAAGAGCCACAAGAAGAACAAGUUCAGGAGCUAAGGAGGAGCACAAGGGUGAAGAGAGAUGCUUCCAACUGGGUAAACACGAGAGUGUACUACAAUGCCCAGGCUGUGGAGCAUCCUUCUCAAGCUAUGUGUUCCUUUGCAGAGUUUCCGGACGAGCAUACAGCCUUCACAGUAAGCUUGCAUGAGAGCUAUAUUCCAAGGACAUAUGAAGAAGCUAUGGCUUUAAAGGAGUGGAGAGAUUCAGUUGCUGAUGAGUCCGGAGCCAUGAUUAAGAAUGAAACAUGGUAUGAGAGUGAGCUGCCUAAAGGGAAGAAGGCAGUGACUAGUAAAUGGGUGUUCACAAUCAAGUUUCAUCCUGAUGGAAGAAUAGAGAGGCGCAAGUCUAGGUUGGUGGCAAGAGGAUUUACUCAGACAUAUGGUGAGGACUAUGUUGAGACCUUUGCUCCUGUGGCUAAACUUCAUACUAUCAGGAUUUUAUUAUCUUUAGCUGUGAAUCUUGAGUGGGAUUUGUGGCAAAUGGAUGUGAAGAAUGCAUUCCUUCAAGGAGAGUUGGAAGAUGAAGUAUACAUGCAUCCACCACCAGGUCUUGAACAUCUAGUAAAGAAGGGUAAUGUGUUGAGGUUGAGGAAAGCUAUCUAUGGUCUCAAGCAGUCUCCAAGGGCGUGGUACAACAAGUUGAGUACUACACUGAAUGGGAGAGUGUUCAGGAAGUCAGAAUUGGAUCACACUCUCUUUACCCUAACCACCUCAUCUGGUAUUGUGGUAUUGCUUGUGUAUGUGGAUGAUAUCAUCAUCACAGGCAGUGAUAAGGAAGGCAUCAAGGCUACAAAGGAGUAUCUCAAGGCAAGCUUUGAGAUUAAAGACUUUGGGGAAAUGAAGUAUUUUCUUGGGAUUGAGAUAUGCAGAUCAAAGGAAGGACUGUUUAUGUCUCAAAGGAAGUUGUUUAUGUCUCAAAGGAAGUAAGGACUGUUUAUGUCUCAAAGGAAGUAUGUGAUUGAUCUAUUGAAGGGAGCAGAUGCCUAUGGAGGAAAGACAGCCAAGAUGCCAAUAGAGGAUGGUUACAAGGUUCCACGUGAGGGGGAGAUUGAGGAUAGCAAGCCAUUCCAUGAUCCUAAGCUGUAUAGGACGCUAGUGGGGAAGUUGAUUUAUCUUACCAUUACUAGACCUGAUGUGUGCUUUGCGGUGAAUCAAGUCAGUCAACACAUGCAAGUUCCUAAGGAGCACCACUG
rnacentral:lncRNA from 1 species